UGAUCAGACCGAGUCUUCCUCCUGCAAACUUCCUAAAGUACUCUGAGUUGGACACGUACAAGUCAGUUUCCAUCUAUUUAUCUCCUCUCCGUCUGUAAUUUCAAUCACAGAAAAGCCUCAGGCAACAACCCAACUGCCCUCCACCUUACUCAGAACCAACGUUCAUUCACUGACUUUCAUACUUCAUUCUGCUCCUUUGUUUCUUGGUGGACACUACAUAAAUUGAUUUUCUCUUCUCUCAAUUUUUUCACCAAAAACAGAGGCCUCCCUCAGUGCUCUUCACCCGCUAGCCACUGCCACUGCUCUUCAUCUUUUCUGUGGAACUCAUCACCUCGCACAGAAAUUUGCUGCUGAUUUCUUUCCAUCACCCCAGGUUCACCACCACGCGAUUUCAUCUCUUUCGUUUCAGGGAGGAUGUGCAAGACACGAACUCAAGCGGGUCCACCAUAGUAUGCCAGAAUAUCAUCAGCAGCUCCCCUCGUGGACGCAGGAUGUGGGGCUAGUGCACAACCUAGCACAUAGGGUUAAAUGUGUUGGCCAGUCAGAUAAAUCAGUUAAGUCAGAUCAGUUAGUUAAUUCAGAUAAAUCAGUCAUGCAUAACAUAAACAUCAGUAGGACAAUCAUGAAUUUAAGCUAUUUGCUUGAAAACUUUUAUGAAAACUUUAUGUUUAUUAUGUUUACGUUAUGAUAGAUUUCUUGUUAAGUUUUUGACUUAUAUUAGUUUAUUUCAUAUCUUUUAACCACCCAGGUAAGGAUGAUGAACACGAGCAGGCA